CACUUUUGGUUAACAAGAUUGAAACAAAUUAAUCAAAAAACAAAAUCAAAUUCCAAAUCGAUGCAAGCUUAUGCUGUCCUUGGUCCUCAUUCGUUAGAAAUUCAAACCAAAAAUCCUUCCACCUCAUUCAAACAUUCAUUUCCUCAUUCACGCUGCUGCAACGUUCUCUGCCCUCAAUUCAAAUUUCAAAUUCAAAUCACACACUCUCUCUCCCUCCCUCUUCUUUCACGUUCUUUAACAUUCUUUAACAUUGCUUUCACCUUCAUUCAACAUUCAUUUCUUCGUCCGUUUCUCUGCUUCAUCUCCCAGAAUCUAGAUUCACUUCCAUCGCAAUCUUCAGGUUCUUGACACACCAAUCCAACGAAAGGCCAAAAGAUUUGUAGACUAUUUGGCUACUUUGGUCCUCUAAAUGAAGUUUUUGUGCCUCAUGAUUAUUAUAUUAGGUUAUUGGUAAAACAUUGGUCCUUGAUGAGAUAAUCAAUUAUACUCAAUCAUAUCACCACCAAGUAGAGGAAUUCAUAUCAACAAAGGUUUAUUGGCUCUUGGAAAUGUGAUUAGUGCUUUGGGAGAUGAAAAAAAGCGAAAAGAAGGAGGCCACGUGCCAUACCGGGAUAGCAAAUUAACACGACUAUUGCAGGAUUCUCUUGGUGGAAACAGCAAAACAGUGAUGAUAGCAUGUGUUAGUCCUGCUGAUAUAAAGUGAUAUGUUUUCACUAUUAACUUGCCUUGGAUUUCCUGAGUUUUGAUUAUGUAUUUUUUUCUUUGAAUUUCUGUUGAAAAUAUUGUUAGUUAGUUGUUAUAUUUAUUAGGAUUUGUUUCUAUCUUUUAGUUAAAUAUCCCCCUACUUCUUAGGAGUUGUUAGUGGGAUUUAGAUGGUUUUUCCACACACCAGUUUUCAGUUAGUGGAAUGAUUUAGUAGAGUGAUUUAAUUUAUUUGUUUUUCCUUUGUAAAGGCUUUAUAUAGGCCACUACAUUGCAGUUGAAUAAAAUCAUAACAUUCCCUUCUUUCCAUUCAACAAUUUCAUCAAAAUGUUGGUGUGGUUAAGAUGUAUUGAUGGAUUUGGAGGUAGAUCCAUGUCCUCUCUCAUUCAACUCAUGGCUUUGGAGUAUUGUUUUCCACCGUAGACUCCAAAGAGAAACUACUGCAGAGUUAUAAAGUCAAAAAGAUGUGAGUAUGUGUAGGGGAAAUGAGGUAAAGCGAAGCAUAGUUUUGAUAUGUCACUUAUGCUACAAAAGACUACAUCAGUACCAACUUUUAGCCCUACUCUGACACAAACAAAUUGGGAAACCUUUCUUUUGAAAUUCAAACACCUCUACUAAAGCCUAAAAUACAAAAUUUCCUUUCCAUCUUUCACCCUCUCUUCUUCAAUUUCCUCUGCGCACAGUUUUUCGGUUUGCUUCAUUUCUCACAGCAACAAGCACACAACUGCAGCGAAGCAAAGAAGAUGAAGAGAAAAUAUGACGGCUUAAAUUAUAAAUUCUAUUUAUGUUGCACAAUGAAGUUUUCUACAUGAUUUAUAAGUUGCAUCAAAGUUAUAAAGGGUUAAUUGAAUGUCUUACCUAAUUGAUUAGAAUGCUAUUUUACUUUGUAUAAUCUAUUUUAUGUCGACUAUACUAUUAUUCUACCCUAAGUAACUUCUCAUUCAUAUAUUCA